CGAUGUGGUUUUCGGGAUUUCCGGUGAGUUACGGUAAUCGGUAUUGGGAAACCAAUCUUUGUGAAAUUGUUUGUGGGGUUUUGGAUACUGUGGUUAUUAGUUGUGGGUUAGAUACUAACCCGGUGGACCCUCUAUAGGUCCUGUCGAUAUUCUUUUGCAGUCAGGAGACAGACACGACAUCCUUACAUGUGGGUACUUCGAUCCGACGUCGGUACAGUGGUGCACGCUUGGUAAUGGUUUCUU
rnacentral:lncRNA from 1 species